AACGUUCUUGUGUUUUAAGGAGGGAUGGACUGCUUUAAGACCCUAUCCGUCCACGCACAUGCAGUAAGUUCCUACAUCCUGGUAUUUUUACCGUUGUCAAGGCACCGAUAGAAAGAAAGGCUGCAACGGGAAGCGACCCGACUUCAGUGUCCUGAGACUGAGCUUAAAGAAAGUUAAGUACAUUUACAAGGUCAACUACUCUUGGUUUUUCAGAAAAAUGGACAGUUUGAAUCAAGCACUGGAUGCAAAAUCCAUCUAAACAAAAAGACCUUGAGAGACUGCUUCACAUAAAGAUGUGACCCCACAGAUAACCCUGUUUAGAGCAGGUUUUGCCAAGCCUAAGAAGACUUACUCCAGCGGCUGACAUUAGUAUAAUGAUGGUGUAACCAAACAGCAGCCAUGUCCAGCAAGACUUCCUCUAAACGUCGUUAUCAACCAGCAGCAGAGUUUGAUGAUGCCACUAUCGCCCGCAAAAGGGAAUAUUGGAGGAGCAAGAAAAGAGAGCAGAGGGCAAGAAAGUCAUCUACCAAAAACAAGAUUGGAAAUGAAAAUCUGGGCUUGCGCAUGUCUGUUGUUAGUGAAGCCAACAAUGUUCCCUCUCUACAUAAUCAUAAUGUUUCAUUCAAACGGCAAGAUGCUGAUUCUCCUAAAAACUCCUUCAGCUCAGGUCUAUUAGUAUCUGAGAGUAAUAUUAAUAUGGUGCCAUGCCAAAAAGCGAGAUGGUUUCAAAGGACCAAGCUCAACCAUGUCUUACCUCAGUACCCAGAAACAAGCACAAAUACCCUGAAGGGUGUAAUGGCCAAUAAAAAAAUAAAGCCCUCAGAUACAGGGUCAUCAAAAACAAAUGCUUCAACAGCUGAAUCUCUCUGCCCUACAGUACAUUCAGUGCCUACAACAUGCAUCGAUUUGAAUCCAAACAAUACUCAUGCUCCAAAAUCAAAAACGGGAAUGUCAUCCCUAAAUGGCAAGCAAUUAACAACAUCUCUGCAAAGCCAUGGAUCCAUGGUUUUACCAGUGCACAGACACCAAAAUAAGCCUCAGAACUCACUUAGACCCUUGACCUCUGCAGAAUGUAAGGUUCAUGAAAACCAGAGUCCUAUCACUAAGAGAAGCACAUGUGCCUUUGCUUCAAAGCACAACACGGGAGUGGCUGUGACUGAAGAAGAGAUGGUUGCUAAGCGUAGAGAGAACUGGCGUAUCAAAAAGCGGGAACAGAGAGCAAAGCGUGCUGCAAAGCUGGCCCGGGACCGAGAAGGGAGUCUCAGACAAGGACAACCUUUAUCUGUUGGUAUCAUGCAUGCUUCGUCUCCUACUUACAGUAAGGCCUUGAAAGGAAUCAGCCUCAACUCUAACCUUGUAUCCCUUAAUCAGCAGUCGCUGGAAGCAAAAUUUAAUGGUUCUCGGACAACACAACUACAUGUUCAGAGUCCUAAACCAAACCAUGCAUCCUUAACAUCUGGUAUUUUGCAGUCAUCCUCAAGUAAAUCCAAAUCCAAAGUACAGAAAUUUGCACUUACUCAAAAGAAACGUUUUCAAAACCAAAUGAGGAAAUCCACCCUUGGUGCUUCCAAAGUUGAGACUCCCGAGGAUCGCCAUGCCAGGCAGAAAGAAUACUGGAGAAUUAAGAAACGUGAGCAGAGAGCAAGGCUGUCUAUGGCAUUGAAAGCACGACUGAAGGAACGAGACGCACUAAAGCAUCAUGGGAGACACUCCUAUAACAGUUUUAAUCAGCCGUGUGGAGUUCAAGCGAGCAAAGCAAGUGCAUUUGCAAUUUCCUCAGAUACCAUUGGUGGUUUUAUCAAAGAAGAUGGCACAGUGACAGUCUCCAUUUCGAGGACAUCUCCUAAAGCUUCCCUACCUACAAGUCAAGACAUUUCCAGUGUGAAAUGCAUUGGAAAAGUAAAACUUCAGGUUCAAGUAAAUUCUCCCCAAUAUUCAGAUGCUCCUGCAGUCACAAAGCUAGAUUCCGCUCCAUGCAACAUUUCUAGUUAUUCUACUAAUGCUCACCAAAACUCUCUAGUACAGUCUAGGUUAACCAGAGGUGCAGUUAUGGGCAGUAUGACAGUCACCAUCCAGUCUGAAACCCCAACAGAAGAAGAAAGGGUCGCCCGUUUGAGGGAGUAUUGGAGGAUAAAGAAACGAGAGCAAAGGGCUAGUCAAGCUGCCCGACUUGGAAAUGGUCUGCUUAGGUCGAAGGUUUCUGUGUUAAAGCAGAGAGAGCAAAACAAGAAGUCAAACCAUAGGCAAAGUAUUACUUCAUCUAUCACCACAACAGUUUGUCACUCCUCUACCAGUGCCCCAAUGCCUAUAAAAGAAGAGCAUGUCUAUCCCACUAUACAAACUGUGUUUUCCAUCCCAGAAAUAAUUCCCUGCAUCAGUGUUAAUAGCAGCAAACCUUCACCUUGUGCAUCCUUAGAAUCACACAUUGAGCCUCCAACAGCUGUGGACCAUCAUGCCACCACUCUUCAGGCUGUUGCUUCCAUGAAGAAGCUCCUGGAGGAAUCGCUUUACACACCAGAAGAAAAUAAUGCCAACAAAAUGCAUGUUAAGUGUGAAAAUGAGCCUCUUCCGUUGACUAAAGAUGACCUUUUUACAUCUGAAGAUGCAAAGCCAAGUCUUACCUUACAACAAAACAUCUUAUUACAGUGUGACAUUUUAAAAGACACAAGCCUUAAAGAUAUCAAAUUGAGUGCUCAGGCAUCAACUUUUGAAAACACGAGUCAUUGUAACACUCAUAACGUAUGUCAAGAGGCUACAGACGGAAGUCGUGCCAUUUCUCCAGUGGCUCUGCAACCUCAGAAGUUCAGUGAUGAUGGAGCAAAUCCCAAGCAGGCCUACCCUUCACAGGCCUUGCAAAAGCAACAGCUUGGUGAAAGUGAUGAGCUUCAACGAAAGAGAGAGUAUUGGCGGUUAAAGAAAAGACAACAGCGGGCUAGAAAAGCCAGCAAAGAUGCAACCAAACAUGCAGUUCUUCGUAAUCUGCCACAGAAGAAAACACGAAGCACAACUCUCAUGCAAGCCAUGUCCCAGGACACUUCCACAUGCAGACAGAUCCCCAUUCAGAAAAAAACAAGCAGGUGCACCAAGCCUUCUGGUCCAGAGACACAGCAUACAGAUAAAUCAAGAUGUGAUAGAAGCCAAAUAGUGGCAACGCCAAAUCCAAAAGUAGAUCCUGAGGAGGUUAUACGUAGAAGACGCAUGCAGUGGAGGAUCAAGAAACAGGAGCAGAGAGCUAGAAAGGCAGCGCAUGAGAGAAAGCUACGCCAGAUGAUGGUCCCUCCACAUGGCCAGGAUUUACAGAGUCAGAACUCCACCAGUCUCUGCUCAGCAGUAGUUCAGAGUGUAACUUUAGAAGACCAACUUGGCUACUUUGCUGAACCAUGUCAACCUGCACUCAAAGAGGAGUCAAGCUUUGCACCAAAUGAAGCAAUGGAGGGACCUUUAUCACAGGCAGAGUGGAGAAAUGUCUACCUCAUGGACUUUGAUCCUGUCAACCCGUUGUUGGUGUGUAUGGUUUGUGGUGAGCAGCAGUACUCUGUGAGUGUGGAAGGCGUGAAGGCUCAUAUUGAGGAGGCGCAUCCUGAUACACUAUCAUUGGGAGACCUUGAACGUCAAGGCAUUCUUGAUGCCUGGGAUAAACAGGUGGCAGUCCGAGAGCACUUCAUCACCCACCAGCUUCAACAGCGAUGCAGAGCUUCUACAGAAUUGAAUUUAACCUGCCCGGUCAAAAUUGAAGCCAAGGUCGAGGCCGAAGACUUUGAGUGA
ensembl:lncRNA